GGCUGUUACUGGGGGACAACAUUUCAAAAGGGAUGAUAAUACCGCAUACGUCCUACGGGAGAAAGCAGGGGAUCAGUAAUGACCUUGCGCUAAUAGAUGAGCCUAAGUCGGAUUAGCUAGUUGGUGGGGUAAAGGCCUACCAAGGCGACGAUCUGUAGCGGGUCUGAGAGGAUGAUCCGCCACACUGGGACUGAGACACGGCCCACACUCCUACGGGAGGCAGCAGUGGGGAAUAUUGGACAAUGGGGGGAACCCUGAUCCAGCCAUGCCGCGUGUGUGAAGAAGGCCUUAUGGUUGUAAAGCACUUUAAGCGAGGAGGAGGGUACUGGUAUUAAUACUACCAGCUACUGGACGUUACUCGCAGAAUAAGCACCGGCUAACUCUGUGCCAGCAGCCGCGGUAAUACAGAGGGUGCGAGCGUUAAUCGGAUUUACUGGGCGUAAAGCGUGCGUACGCGGCUAAUUGAGUCAGAUGUGAAAUCCCCCGAGCUUAACUUGGGAAUUGCAUUCUAUACUGGUUAGCUAGAGUGUGGGAGAGGAUGGUAGAAUUCCAUGUGUAGCGGUGAAAUGCGUAGAGAUCUGGAGGAAUACCGAUGGCGAAGGCAGCCAUCUGGUCUAACACUGACGCUGAGGUACAAAAGCAUGGGGAGCAAACAAGAUUAUAUACCCUGGUAGUCCAUGCCGUAGACGAUGUGCUACUACCCGUCGGUCUCUUUCAGCGCAUGAGUGNCGCAGCUCACCGCGAUAAGUAGAGCAUCUGGCGCAGUACGGUCCCCAGUACUAAAAAAUCAAAUGAACUUGAUGGAGUGCCCGCACUAGCGGCGGAGGCAUGUGGUUUCAUUCUAUUUAACGCG
rnacentral:rRNA from 1 species